rnacentral:rRNA from 1 species
AACGUAGGUACCGAGCGUUAUCCGGAUUUACUGGGCGUAAAGCGCGUUCAGGCGGUUUGGCAAGUCGGGCAUGAAAUCUCUCGGCUCAACCGGGAGAGGUUGUCCGAUACUGCUGGACUUGAGGGCAGUAGAGGGUGGUGGAAUUCCGGGUGUAGUGGUGAAAUGCGCAGAGAUGUGGAGGAACACCGAUGGCGAAGGCAGCCUCCUGGGCCAAUACUGACGCUCAUGCACGAAAGCGUGGGGAGCAAACAGG